GAUGAACGCUGGCGGCGUGCCUAAUACAUGCAAGUCGAGCGAACGGACGAGAAGCUUGCUUCCCUGAUGUUAGCGGCGGACGGGUGAGUAACACGUGGAUAACCUACCUAUAAGACUGGGAUAACUUCGGGAAGCCGUAGCUAAUACCGGAUAAUAUUUUGAACCGCAUGGUUCAAAAGUGAAAGACGGUCUUGCUGUCACUUAUAGAUGGAUCCGCGCUGCAUUAGCUAGUUGGUAAGGUAACGGCUUACCAAGGCAACGAUGCAUAGCCGACCUGAGAGGGUGAUCGGCCACACUGGAACUGAGACACGGUCCAGACUCCUACGGGAGGCAGCAGUAGGGAAUCUUCCGCAAUGGGCGAAAGCCUGACGGAGCAACGCCGCGUGAGUGAUGAAGGUCUUCGGAUCGUAAAACUCUGUUAUUAGGGAAGAACAUAUGUGUAAGUAACUGUGCACAUCUUGACGGUACCUAAUCAGAAAGCCACGGCUAACUACGUG
rnacentral:rRNA from 1 species